UCCUUAUCAAGAGAAACGGAGGGACUGGCCCAAUGAUGUUUCAGCAACCAAGGUUUUAUACUUAUGGUGCUAAUUCCAGCAGGAUAUUUUCUGAAAGAUGAGGA
rnacentral:ncRNA from 2 species